CCGGAAGCAUUCUGCCCUUCUCCUGCUACUUGAAAGCAGCUCAGAUCAGGAAACGGGCGUGCUCUGGAAGAGACUCUCCAUCAAAGAAGACAAGGCAAGGGCAAGACAAGCCCAGGGGGAGGUGUGGUGGUCGACGCAGAGCCUCAGCUACAGUGUCACAGCCUCCAACUGAGUGCUCCCUGUCAUCCAGUGUGGAACAUCUGCCUAGUUUACCCUCAGCAAGUCCUUUGAUGACAUUUGGUAAAUCACAGUGAUGAAAGAAUUUUAAAUCUUCAAAUGUCCGUGUAUAACUGAAUUUAAGAUUGAAACAAACCUUAACACUUACACUUGAAUAUGAACACUAAUGAUUAGAGCCAGUUUCAUAGUGAAAAUAUGUGUAUACUGUGUGUAUGUUGAUUAAUUAUUUUAAUGGUUGUUAUUUAAAUAACUGAAGUUGAUAUUUUCUUUACAGAGAAAAAUAUGGAGAGGCUCUCUGCUAUAUAUCGUCAUUUAGCUUUUGGCGCCGUCCCAGGUGGCAGCCUGUAGCAGCAGCUCCCGUCGUGUUUUUUAAGUUUUCGUUUAUUUGUCCGUUCGUUCUUUUUUUUUUUCUGUUUUCUGAUCAAUCACAACCUGUUCGUUAGAGUUGUGACAAUGUCUGGACUUACGUUUGCUACCCUUCUCCGUGUUUUUCUUCUACUUUCCCUACUUUUUGUAACUGGGAACUAUGCCGACGGCAGCGGUGGGAGCAUUGUUUACAUGCGCGAACAGCUGAUCGCGCUGUGUAGACCCGUGCUGCUGCCCGGAGACAGACCUGUGGUCCCGCAGGAGUUACGGAGGAGAAGCCGGGGCUGCAGGUCUGGAGUAAAAAGGGGGGGCACCAAAUAGUAAAUAGUAGGUUCACUAGAUCACAACAUGUUGUUUCAAAUAUUAUGUUGACAUUACUGAUGAAACUUAGUCGAUUAAACUAAGUUUAAUUGUCAGUUUUCUGACAUGACUAGUUGUAGUCAGACUCAAACCCCACUUCUUUCCAGGAAAAGGAAGAUAACGGCAGCAAAUCUACUCUUUAUUUUGAGAGUAGUAAUGGGAGAGAGUACUUCCUGUGAUUUCUUGUAAAGUGAAAGCCUUUCACUUCUGGUUACUUCUGCUUUUGGUCACUGUCUUCAAUAAAA